UACGUAGGCAGCGAGCGUUGUUCGGAUUUACUGGGCGUAAAGGGUGCGUAGGCGGUUGUUUAGGUUUGGUGUGAAAUCUCCCGGCUCAACUUGGAGGGUGCGCCGAAUACUGAAUGACUAGAGUGCGGGAGAGGAGAGUGGAAUUCCUGGUGUAGCGGUGAAAUGCGUAGAUAUCAGGAGGAACACCGGUGGUGUAGACGGCUCUCUGGACCGGAACUGACGCUGAGGCACGAAAGCGUGGGGAGCAAACAGG
rnacentral:rRNA from 1 species